rnacentral:rRNA from 1 species
GAUGAACGCUGGCGGCGUGCUUAACACAUGCGAGUCGAACGGAAAGGCCAUGCGCUUGCGGGGUGCUCGAGUGGCGAACGGGUGAGUAACACGUGAGUAACACCCCCCUGACUGAGGGAUAACUCCAGGAAACUGGGGCUAAUACCGGAUAGGAGAUACUGCUGCACGGUGGGGGUUGGAGAGAUUCGGCGGUUGGGGCUGGUCUCGCGGCUUAUCAGCUGGUUGGUGGGGUAGUGGCUGACCAAGGCUUUGACGGAUAGCCGGCCUGAGAGGGUGGCCAGCGUCCUUGGGACUACGAUAGGGACCAGACGCCUACGGUAGGCAGCGGUGGAGAAUAUUACGCAAUGGGCGGGAGCCUGAGACAGCGACGCCGCGUGCGGAAUGACGUCCUUCGGGUGGUAAACCGCUUUCUCCUUUGACGAGGCGUUAGUGACGGUAAUGAGUAAAAAAGCACCGGCUAACUACGUG